CGGCGUGACCUAAUACAUGACAAGUCGAACGAGGUGUCUUUUGUAGCAAUACGAAAGUAUCCUAGUGGCGAACGGGUGAGUAACGCGUUGGUGACCUACCCCAAAGUGUGGGAUAACAGUUCGAAAGAACUGCUAAUACCGCAUGUGGUUAUCGGAUUUAGAAACUGAUAACUAAAGGAGCAAUUCGCUUUGGGAGGGACCUGCGUCCCAUCAGCUAGUUGGUGAGGUAAUGGCUCACCAAGGCUACGACGGGUAGGGGACCUGAGAGGGUGACCCCCCACAAUGGAACUGAAACACGGUCCAUACACCUACGGGUGGCAGCAGUAGGGAAUAUUGCACAAUGGGCGAAAGCCUGAUGCAGCAACGCCGCGUGUGCGAUGAAGGCCCUCGGGUCGUAAAGCACUUUUCUGAGAGAUGAGCAAGGACAGUAUCUCAGGAAUAAGUCUCGGCUAACUACGUG
rnacentral:rRNA from 1 species